rnacentral:rRNA from 1 species
GCUUUACACAUGCAAGUCGAACGGCAGCACGGACUUCGGUCUGGUGGCGAGUGGCGAACGGGUGAGUAAUAUAUCGGAACGUAUCCAAUAAUGGGGGAUAACUAAUCGAAAGGUUGGCUAAUACCGCAUACGCCCUACGGGGGAAAGCUAGGGACCUUCGGGCCUGGCGUUAAUGGAGCGGCCGAUAUCUGACUAGCUAGUUGGUGGGGUAAAAGCCCACCAAGGCGACGAUCAGUAGCUGGUCUGAGAGGACGACCAGCCACACUGGAACUGAGACACGGUCCAGACUCCUACGGGAGGCAGCAGUGGGGAAUUUUGGACAAUGGGCGCAAGCCUGAUCCAGCCAUUCCGCGUGAGUGAAGAAGGCCUUCGGGUUGUAAAGCUCUUUCGCAAGGGAAGAAAGAUUGCUCUCUAACGUAGAGUGAUUAUGACGGUACCCUGAUAAGAAGCACCGGCUAACUACGUGCCAGCAGCCGCGGUAAUACGUAGGGUGCGAGCGUUAAUCGGAAUUACUGGGCGUAAAGCGUGCGCAGGCGGUUUUGUAAGUCAGAUGUGAAAUCCCCGAGCUCAACUUGGGAACUGCGUUUGAAACUACAAGACUAGAAUAUGUCAGAGGGGGGUAGAAUUCCACGUGUAGCAGUGAAAUGCGUAGAGAUGUGGAGGAAUACCAAUGGCGAAGGCAGCCCCCUGGGAUAAUAUUGACGCUCAUGCACGAAAGCGUGGGGAGCAAACAGGAUUAGAUACCCUGGUAGUCCACGCCCUAAACGAUGUCUACUAGUUGUUGGUGGAGUAAAAUCCAUGAGUAACGCAGCUAACGCGUGAAGUAGACCGCCUGGGGAG